UUUUUCUAUUACUUGGAGAUCAUGAUGAAUACAGUACUUGUGAAGCAGAAAUAUUACCCAUUCUCUUUGUUAGCCCUGUCCUUCUUUCGCAUAGAAGUAGACUGCCAGCAGAGUAUUUUUGGUCACCACUGAAUAUAUGCAGUUGAGAUUAGAAGAUGGCUGUCCUGUCAUCAAUCUUUUUAUUUUUAGAAAACUUAGCCAUGGGACAGCAUAUAAGGAGCUGAGGACCGAACCCAGGGUCUUAUGCUUGCUAGCUGAGCUCUCAACUAUUAAGAAGAUAAUACCUCCUAGUAGAUGUCCUGGACCUCAGACUCUUACAAAUUUUCUGCCCCACUCUCUGCAGUGCUAACUGAAUCUUGGGUCUAUGAGUUGUAUUAUAAUAUAUUACAACGUAUUAUGUUGUAGACAUUGACUUUUUAACUUGCAUCCAUAUGUUGCACAGACAAUUGUGAUUUUGUUUACACUAUAGUUUGUGUUAUAUCAAGUAACAUCUAAAAGCAUCACCAUGUGACCAUUAACUGUAAGUCCAUUAGACUCUUCUCAUUAUGGAUGUAUCAAUGUAUAUUUGCAAAUAGCAUUAUUGGGAAAAUAAUACUGACAUUUUGUCUAGUACUGCUGGCCACGCUAAGUAGAACAAGAAAAUGAAGCUAAGAGUUACUUAAUUUUCAAGAUCAACAUGAGGUCUGUUUUUCUUGGAACAUCCUGUUCAGUUUGGCUUUCUUUGUACGACAAAACUCUCUGGUUUAUGGAUACUUAUGAUUGUGCAUGAGGGAUAUCAUACUACAACAUUGAUCUUUUGAUAUAAAACUUGAUAUUUAUAUUCUUAUAUAUUAAGAAGAUUAAAAAUUAUUGUACAUUGAAACAACCUGUUCUUUCAACAAUUUAUUCUCUCAUACAAUACAAUUCAUCCUGAAAACAGUUUCCCCUCCCUCCACUCCUUUCAUUUGCACAACCCAAGACCUUAUCUUAUAGAAUCCCAUCAAACUAUAGCUAUUGGGAGGAAUGCUUAGUUUAAUUUUGAUAUUUCAUGCAUGGAUGAUGCUAUCUCCUUAUUCAUGCAAGUUAUUUAUCCUGCUUUAGCUUUGAAUAACAACUAGUAAAUAUAUUAUGUAACAAUAUAUAAUUCUACAGUGAUCUUAGCAUAUUGUAAAUGAUGGCUGUUUAGUGACCCUACGUGGUCCAUUUUCUACUGCUCUUUGUUUAGGAUGCUAUUCGUCAUAGUUGGCUUUCAUUUGGGAAUUGCUAAGGAGCUCGCAUGCUGGUGAAAAAGUGGCCUAAGAAUAUCAAGAGAAAUGGUGUUUUACAAUAAACUUGUACAUAUCCUUGUGUUAGAAAUUAAUAUGUAGAAUCCUGUCUGUUCAUUGAAAUUUACAAGCAAUAAACCUGCCCAAUACUUAGUUAUUUGUACAUACUCUUAAGUCUUUUACUCACAGAUUUUAACAGCGGAUGUAAAUAUUGAUUUACAUACCUAUUUAUGUAUAUAUGUAUAUAUUCAUAUGCAAAUAAUAUUUUACUGAUAAAUUUUGAUUGUGUGUACAGAAGAUGACUGUGACAUCCUGGUACUGUAAUAUUUAUGUAAGUGAUUCAUGGAAGCUCCUUCUCUGAUUAAUGCAGCUGUGUUUUCAAAUGAAUUAAUUAUAUCUACCAGUGUAAUAAAAUGCUAACAUGAGAAACUUUUUGACAUUUUCAAAUUUGACCUUCUUUGUCAUCCUAAAAUAUCAUCAGGUAAGUUUGUAGUAGAUUUGUAUAAAUUUAAACUGUAUAUUUAUUUAAUUUAUACUAAUUCAAAUGAGGUGAGAUUAUGUAAAUGUCCCAUAAGUAUCAAGGCUAUAAAUUACAAUGAAUUAUUUCUUUUCUUCAGUUAUGUGGUUUUCUACAAUUGUAAGUUGGUGGUGACUUUAUUCUCUUCUGAUUCUCCUUUUUAUACUCAAUUGCUUUAAGCAAGAUGUUACACUCCCAUUUGGACAAAGAAGAUAAUGUCAUCCCUUAAUAGAGAAAGGGACCCUGUUGCAAGGCUAUCUCUACUCAUAUGUUCUUUUUGAGAAAGAAAUGUUUGCUUGACCCUGUUGAUCCUUAGAUCAGUUCUGGUGCCUCUUAAAAUCCAAAUUAUGCUUCAGUUGUUUCUUUAAACUGAUGACCUGUAGUUACACCUUUUGUACCAAUAAAAAAAAUACAACAUUAACUUCUGACACUAUUGACUACCAGAUUGAGUUCUGAGUAAAGACUUUUUAUGUAUUCUUUCAACUAGCUGUCAUGACAACAGCAUCAUUUUUCUGAAGUUCUG
ensembl:lncRNA